AGAGCUUGUAGGCGGUUUGUCGCGUCUGCUGUGAAAGACCGGGGCUUAACUCCGGUUCUGCAGUGGGUACGGGCAGGCUAGAGUGUGGUAGGGGAGACUGGAAUUCCUGGUGUAGCGGUGAAAUGCGCAGAUAUCAGGAGGAACACCGAUGGCGAAGGCAGGUCUCUGGGCCAUAACUGACGCUGAGAAGCGAAAGCAUGGGGAGCAAACAGGAUUAGAUACCCUGGUAGUCCAUGCCGUAAACGUUGGGCGCUAGGUGUGGGGCUCAUUCCACGAGUUCCGUGCCGCAGCUAACGCAUUAAGCGCCCCGCCUGGGGAGUACGGCCGCAAGGCUAAAACUCAAAGGAAUUGACGGGGGCCCGCACAAGCGGCGGAGCAUGCGGAUUAAUUCGAUGCAACGCGAAGAACCUUACCAAGGCUUGACAUGCACCGGACGACUGCAGAGAUGUGGUUUCCCUUUGUGGCUGGUGUGCAGGUGGUGCAUGGUUGUCGUCAGCUCGUGUCGUGAGAUGUUGGGUUAAGUCCCGCAACGAGCGCAACCCUCGUUCCAUGUUGCCAGCGGGUUAUGCCGGGAACUCAUGGGAGACUGCCGGGGUCAACUCGGAGGAAGGUGGGGAUGACGUCAAAUCAUCAUGCCCCUUAUGUCUUGGGCUUCACGCAUGCUACAAUGGCUGGUACAGAGGGCGGCGAUACCGUGAGGUGGAGCGAAUCCCUUAAAACUGGUCUCAGUUCGGAUUGGGGUCUGCAACUCGACCCCAUGAAGUCGGAGUCGCU
rnacentral:rRNA from 1 species